CCUUCGGCCUUCGCCCCGGGCUCCGGCGAAUGUCGCUCCCUCUCGCUCCUCCCUUCCCAGGCGCGCGCUUCACGCCGUCGCAGGCGGCGGCGCCUCGCCGCCGCGCCGGGGCCCGCCCCUUCUCCCCGUCCGCGGACGCGCGGUCCCCGCGCUUCAGGAGGCCCUACACGUCCGUCCUGAUUGUCCCCACGGGCGUCGGCGCGGCCGUCGGGGGCUUCGCCGGCGACGCCCUCCCGGUGGCUAGAACCCUCGCCGCCGUCUCCGACUGCGUCAUCUCACACCCCAACGUGCUGAACGCUGCAAUGUUGUACUGGCCAAUGCCCAACACGCUUUACGUGGAGGGAUACGCCCUUGAUAGGUUCGCGGAAGGAUCUUGGGCUCUCCAACCCGUUCACCAAAACAAGGCUUGGUGUUGGAUUCUGGAAUCGAGGAGGACCUCCGGCUACGCCACUUGCAUGUUGCCGAUGCCGCAAGGGCGUCUCUUGGGCUGCCUGUAGUCGAGUACAUUGUCACAGAUGCUCCUCUGGAGAUCAAGACAUGGUUUGAUCCUAAGUGUGGGAAGUCGACAGGAAGUGUUGGGAACUCUGAUUCUCUGCUGAGAGCUGUUGACACACUAGUGAAUCAUUCAGAUGUGAAUGCGGUGGCAGUGGUUGCAUGCUUUCCAGAUGAUGAUCCAGAAGAUUCAGAUUGUUACAGGGAAGGGAAGGGCGUUGAUCUGUUGGCAGGGGUUGAAGCAAUUAUCAGUCAUCUAAUUGUGAAAGAAUUCAAAAUCCCUGCUGCCCACGCUCCUGCAGUGUUACCCCCACCACUCAGCCCAUUGGUAUCCCCUAGAUCUGCUGCUGAAGAGAUUGGAUAUACCUUUCUGCCUUGUGUGCUUGCUGGGUUAAGCAACGCUCCACAGUAUGUCAUGAGGAGGCAAGGAAUCUUGGGCAGUAAUUGCAUUGUGGCUGGUGAUGUUGACAGUGUUAUUCUUCCAAAAGACUCUUGUGGAGGAGAGGGUACCCUAGCCUUUGCUCGAGCUUCAAGAAAGCAUAAGCCCUUAAUCAUAACCGUACAGGAAAAUGAGACAGUGCUUGAUGAUACCCCAGACAAGUUUGGCAUAGAGGCGGUAUGCAACCUAUAUAUGUCUUUCGUCACCCUCCAAAUUCUGUCUCUUUCUCAUAAGCUCAUAUAUCUAAGCAUUUGUUAGCAACUUUGAGUGUUUUCUCCUCAGCUGAAUGUUCAGAACUACUGGGAAGCAAUUGGAGUUGUCGCUGCUCACAAGGCAGGUGUCGACCCAAACGCUCUUAGAAGACAAGGAAUUGAUCACCUUAAGAGCUCUCCGCGAUUAUACUCUGCUUACUCUUCGGGUCCUAGGCCAUCUGCCCGUCCUCCGGUGCACGAGAAGUUUGCUAUCAGGAGUAGACUAGCUAAACAAAUUUAAUAGUAGAAAUAACACUACUAGUAGAAGUAGAAAUCAAUUUAGACAGGUUGCUAUCAGGAGCUUUCCAGAUUUUGAAGUCGCAGGUACAUAUUCCACAGAGACCGUGCUGCAGUGGAAUCCUAGUCAUAGCAUCUACACCGAUUUUUGUUGCCACCCAGUCUAGCAUUAGCUGGUGGCAUGCAUGAAUCUUCCUCAUGGCCUUGUAUUUCUCGAACUUCCAAUCUCCAGUCGGUUUGCCAAUCAUUUACAUCAUCAUUUGUUGCAGGAAAACCCAGUGGUUGUAAUCAAUUUUUUCCUACAUUAUUUUAGUAGCGCUGUGUUUAGAUCA